rnacentral:rRNA from 1 species
CAAUAGCGUAUAUUGAAGUUGUUGCAGUUAAAAAGCUCGUAGUUGAAUUUCUGGCGGGCGCGCCGGUCUUCCAAGUGUUGUACUGGGCGCAGUCCGCCAUCCUUGUGGAGAGGGCUCGCAUUGAGUUGCGUGUCGGAUCUGCAUCAUUUACUGUGAAAAAAUUAGAGUGUUUAAAGCAGGCUGUCGCUUGAAUACAUUAGCAUGGAAUAAUAAGAUAGGACUUCGGUCUAUUUUGUUGGUUGCGAACCGAGGUAAUGAUUAAUAGGGAUAGUUGGGGGUAUUCAUAUUUAAUUGUCAGAGGUGAAAUUCUUGGAUUUAUGAAAGAUGAACAACUGCGAAAGCAUUUACCAAGGAUGUUUUCAUUAA